GAGCCGCCGUGCCGGAAUUCUGAUAUUGGUCAAAAGGGGCCCUAGGUCUGAUUUGGGAUUUUUUGGGACACGUGCAGGUACCGGUAGUGCGUUUCAGUUUUUCGGAAAAAUUCAUAGAAAUUAGGGACAGCCCGUAGGCGCACUGUAGAGUCGAUUUCAGACCCCGAAACAAGUAAGGACCCCUCACCCUAUUUCCUAUCACGGUAUUAAAGCUUAAUAAAUAAUUAAACGGUAUUUUGAGACUUUAUAGAUGUAUAAUUGAUUGAGGUUGCCAAUGG
rnacentral:lncRNA from 1 species